rnacentral:rRNA from 1 species
UACGAAGGGGGGCUAGCGUUGCUCGGAAUUACUGGGCGUAAAGGGCGCGUAGGCGGACAGUUAAGUCAGAGGUGAAAGCCCAGGGCUCAACCCUGGAAUAGCCUUUGAUACUGGCUGUCUUGAGUGCGGGAGAGGUGAGUGGAACUGCGAGUGUAGAGGUGAAAUUCGUAGAUAUUCGCAAGAACACCAGUGGCGAAGGCGGCUCACUGGCCCGAUACUGACGCUGAGGUGCGAAAGCGUGGGGAGCAAACAGG